GGUUCUUUCGGUAAAGUCACGUAGGUACAAAAUAAAAUAAAUCACGACGUUUCGGGCGCACACACAAGCGUCCGUCAUCAGGUGGGAAAGAAAUUGCCGUCAUCAGGUUGUGUCGCACCCGAAACGUAGUGAUGUAUUUUAUUUCUACCUACGUGACUUUACCGAAAGAACCAAAGAGUAUGGAUUCCUGCAGUCACGAAAGCUUUAAAUUACCUAUAAUAAUGUUUGUAUAUGUUUUUCUCUCAACAGCUAUGGAACUUGAACUCGCGGUAGCAGGCAGAGCUGUUUCCUCGAGAAUAAUGACGUGUAAAAUGUAGCUAAAUGUAGCGUUAAAAAAACCACGUGUAUGCACACACGUUGUUAACGAGAAGCAUUUUUGUUAGUAUGGCCACACCAGGCCCGGCUGCCCUACGUUUUUUUUACCAAUGUAUUGCCGACAUGAACACACACGAGGAACUCAUUGUAGGCUGAUUCAGCCAAAGGGAAGCCCGAUACAGGGUCAGAUACCAAUUUUCCACUGACGUUUUUCAUAGCCAAGGAAUCAAACUUUGGGUGGUCAGAUCGUCGGCUGUGGUCUUUCCCCCGCACCUCCGAUUAGCGCGCUUGGCUACAUACGGUGCGAAAGACGUUCAACAUACGUACGCAAUGAGCAGACAAAUAUGUAGCUUGGACACAAUUUCUACAUUUGUGCACAACUUCCAUGGGAAACAUGUACUGCACUUCACACGACCGAGAACCUCGAUAAUGGAUGCUUUAUUUUCUUCUGAGAUUUCUACAUAAAGCCAAUGUCCAUUUCCCCGUGCACGCACUGCAUGCCUAUCAUGGACUGACAUGGACUUGUUUGUGAAUUAUAUAUAAUGACGGUCGCAAAUUUACAGGAGGGGUUGGGGGGGUGGUGGUGGUUGUGGCUACGGUUGCCACCUCGGAGGUGCAAAUCAACCAGGACCCAUCGUACUCCAAAUAAUAUCUCACGGUACUGGAAUACCUCACAACACGAAGGCAAAAAGGAAACCUGGCAAAACCCGAGACCACGUGGCGCAAGACCGUGAAGGAUGAGCUGGCAGCGGCGAUUAACCUCUCAAGGGGCGAGGCUCAACAAGUUGGCAAGGACAGCAAGAAAUGGAGGGAACUUACUGCGGCAUUUUGUCCCAAAGGGGAUGAAGAGGACUAACUAACUGGAAGAAGGGGGAACCACACCACCUGAAAAUGCAUUGUGCGGCGCACCGCUGUGCACCUAACAAAAAAAAAACCUCGAGGAACAGACGCUGCACGGAAUUAUUAAGGCGGCCCACAAGACGAACAAGAGCGUGCCAUAAUUAGGUACGAGAAGAUUGGAGAAACAACGAAGGUUCGCAGCAAUGAAUAACAAGACGGGAGAAGUGCGUGGCCGAGGUGGUUGGGACACAUCACAAGGGUGUGGGAAGGAGAGUUCUGCAAAAUCAAGCGACGACGAGAUGGAGAGACCAAGGCCAAGGAGGAUGCGGCAAGCGUGGGUCUCAGGCAGGAGGAUGGCCCAAGCAAGGCAACGUGGAGACUUGGGAGCGGAGCCACUGCCUCUGUGUCACUCGGCACAAAGCAAAGUACAAGAGGGAGAAUGUAUUGUUGCACUUAAGGGCAACUUUGCACGACGUUAACCAGGCUAAUAUUAAUUCUCUCAAACCACUGUGUGUAAUUAAACUACGUGCAUGCCAUGGAGACGUUAUGGUGCAAGUGCGCUGAUCUCCUUCAUAAGUGGAAGAUUAAAAGCAGCCCCUCUCUUUGUGGCUGCGAAAAGCGUUACAAACUCGUCAAUUCGUGCGCCUCUCGCCUCAUUCGGAGGAUGUAUAGAAGUCGUCCACAACCUCAUCCCAGAGACCCUGUACUGUCUAAAGAACUGCCAAACAAACCCUUGGACAACUUGCUGCUCCCCUACAAUGUCUGCUAUUCUGCAGCAAAAUCAUACGGCAGAAGAAUAAGUGGGAUAAAUGUAUGAAGACGUGAAUAAACUUUUUUAAAAAUGAGAGCAAAAAACACCGCGGCAUCAUGAUGGGAGACUUCAACGCAGGUAUAUCGAGCGGUGAACAGAGAAUAAAUGCCCAUCACCUGGACUCACCCUCGAGCUAACGGAACCCGUGUGCAGUUGCACCGCCUGCACCAUCGACAGCUAUGCUACUUGGUUUGGGGUGGCGGGGGACCAAACAGAGAAUUGCCUCAACACUAAGUGAGGCAUACAUGCCUACACUUACAUAUCCAGUUCCGCCAACCACUCUUUCUGGACACACGUGUGUCCGAGCUGCGUCAGAAUCUGUCAAUCCCAGAUCGGUCUCUUCAGCAAAUCUUCGGACCCACAGAUAGUCCAAACUUUUCUAUGGAAGACAAUCAACCUCGAUUGCGAGCGGUAGCCUAUGAUGAUGAUAUGCGUAUGAAGGAAGAGGGGUCCUAGAGACGGCGAGAGAUAUCGACAUGAAGAAGGACAUGGAAAAUCAGACACGGAGAGACACACACACACACCAAGGGACAUUUCGCCUGUUCAACACAGUGCGCUGUGCCCAGAUAUAAUUUCAUUGAUGCUUAAUGUUUGUGCUCCCAGGACUAAGCGAAGUUCCUGAGAGAAAACGUCCAUGAAACUCCACCACCUGUGCAUACACACAUUGCAUAUACUGUAUACGCAACCACAUUCAGACGCACAUUCCAUAUAUACACAACCACAUUCAGACACACAUUGCAUAUACUGUAUACGCAACCACAUUCAGGUGCACAUUGCAUAUAUACACAACCACAUUCAGACACACAUUGCAUAUAUAUACAACCACAUUCAAACGCACAUUGCAUAUAUACACAACCGCACUGAGUGACGGUGACGUCAACAUUGCACUCGUGCCAGGCUAGGUGCAUCUUGAGGCCACGCGAAGUGCCAAAGGCUGGCUGACAGGAGGUUCACGGGACAGACCCAGGUGUCGUGGGUUAACUGACUGAGAUGCCUGGCAGAUGCACAACAUGAACUCCCCGCUGAGUAUGUAUGUAAAUUUAACUUAUUUCGCACCGUACGUAACCAACCGUGCUAAUCGGAGGUAUGCAUACAUACACACAAAUGGUUACACAAUCCCAUGCAUACACUCACGCAUAACUGUGCUACUUCAUACAGGGCCUAAUAAAAUGCGUAUAAAACA